CACCUGGUAUUUUAUAGUUUGAGGUGAGCUUUGGGAAGAUAUACUAAAUUCUAUUCUUCUGUUUCAUUUGGAAUUCCCACCAAACACCCCCUUUGUUCAAGGACAUGGAUUCACUAAAAAGAAAAGUUCUGAAGAAUAACAGAACUUGCCAGAUCCCAUCAGGGAUGUGAAUAGUCCCAGUGACGGUUUUGAAUUUGGGCAGAGCACUUCCAUCUUCCAUCCUUCCUAUCUGAGCCUUUUGACAAGACCUCACAUUUCUGGCUAAGAGGCCCUAAUUUGGUGACUGAAUUGCUAUUGAAGAAAUGCCUAGAAAGAAACUAACAUAUAUGAUUUCUAUUAUCAAUAUUGAAAUGUGCAUUUGAAGACCAAUAAAGGUGAAGAUGGAAAAUGCCCAAAUGAGACAGACAUAAUGAUGAGACUUUCUUAAGAAAUGUGCUACAUUGUUUUGAAUUAGCCCCAAAGAGAAACACUGAUUGUGUUUUCUAUUGUAAGAGAAAUUAUCAAUUUUGUACUACAUGUAGGACUUUUGGAAAUGUAUGCUAUUAUUCUGUUCAGCAUUGUAAAGAUAACACUUAGGCAUAAUUUUUUAGGUUACUUAUUGCUUUCUAAUUUGAUUUAUAUCUGUUCUUUCCUGCUUUUAGUCAUGUGUGUUAGUUGUGUCAUGUAUUUAAUGUACCUGAAUGGCGUCUUUAUAUUUUAUUUAAAUUAAGGAUUUAGUUAAAUAUUACUGAUGUAACUUGCAGCCUCAUGUAUACAUAAUACUUCUUUAGAAGUUUAAAAAUGUAUUAUUUUAAGGAAUAUAUUGAUUUUUUAAAAAUAAACAAGAUGGAAUACAAGUUAAAUAUUAAUAAAGAAUGUAGUAAUGAAUAUAAAUGAUUAUUAUAUUUUCCAUAAUUGAACAGAAUUAAAAUACAUAAUUAUUUAUAUGAUUUAUAUUAUUUAGAUUAUGUAAAUUAAAAUGAUUUUGAUAUGGUUCUGUAUACAAUUUAGGAUAGACUAAAUUUUCACAAAAUUCCCAGGUGAUUUCCAGUUGACUCUGUGAUUUUAACUCGAAUAUUUCUCAUAAUUCUAUGCCUAGAACUGUGCCAGGUAACUAGUACUAAUAAACACUAUUAAUUGAGGGCAUACUACUUAACCACACUUCUGUUCAGUGCUUUGUAAAAAGCAUAUUAUUUUGAUGUAGCUCAACCAAUGUUUGUUUAAAAAAUUAAUCUCAUUUUUGUGGCUUACUAUUAAACUUCAUAAUAAUAGCGCUUGGGAGUCUGAGAUACUUACAUUUCUUCCUAAGUUUUUAAUUUCCUAUUGCAAGAAAAACCUUGUCAAAAAUUAGUCUCAAGUUUCAGUUUUGUUAUUGGAAAGUUUUAUUUUUCUUGGCAUUAUAGAUCACCACACAUAUUUUUAUUACUUCUAUACAUUAGUUACUGAUUGAUCAUUUUAGUCAUUUUAGCUUGAAAAAUACUCUAUAGUUGUAUUACUCCAUUUUCAUACUUGUAUAAAGAACUGCUCGAGACUGGGUAAUUUAUAAAGGGAAGAGGUUUAGUUGACUCAGCGUGGCUGGAGAGGCCUCAGGAAACUUACAAUCAUGGAAGAACGUGAAGGGGGAGCAAGGCACCUUCUUCACAAGGCGGUAGGAAGGAGUAGUGCCAAGUGAAAGGGGGAAGAGCCCAUAUAAAACCAUUGGAUGUUGUGAGAACUCACUCACUAUCAUGAGAACAGCAUGGGGGGAGCCACCUCCAUGAUUCAAUUGCCUCCAGCUGGUCUCUCUCUUAACAGGUGGCGAUUGUGGGGAUUACAAUUCAAAAUGAGAUUUGGUUGGGGACAAAAAGCCAAACCAUGCCACUAGUCAAGGAUAUGCUUUAUAGUGGUUCUCAAACCUUAAUGUGCCUGAGUUAACUGGAGGGCUUGCUAAAACCCAGAUGGCUUGGUCCUAACCCAAGGGUUUAUGAUUUAACAGGUUUGAGGUGAAAUCUGCAAUUUCUCAAGUGGGGUUGAUGCUACUGGUCUGAGUUCCAUACUUUGAGAACAACUGCUGUAUUAGUAACUAAACUGAAUAUUGAGGGAGAGUUAUGAUAUCCUUUAGCACUGAAAUUUAUUUCAGUAUUUUUCUUUGCAAUGUAGCUAAGUCUUAGUCAUGUAUAGUUUUAAAAUAUUAGGAACUUAAAUGUUAUAAGCACUUUACAUGUAUCAGCUCAUCUAUUCCUCAUUACAACACUGAGGUAGGCAUUAUAGUUAGUAUAAAUGAGGAAACUAGGGCACAGACAGGCUAAGUAAAUUGUUCAAAGUUACACUAAUCAGAAUGAAACCAGGAAUCCAACUCAGGGAGUAUGGCUCCAGAAACCAUGCUGUUAACCACUACGCUAUACUGCAUCCUUAUGUCCAAUAGAGGAAUUAUCAUAGCAUAUGAACUAACAGAAGACAGGCUCUGCAUUAUGCUUUCUCAUAACUGUUGUUAGCACAGUGAUUGGCAAAGAAUGGGUUGUACCUUAACUUUCUCCUCAUAUCAUGCAUUGUGAUCUGAUAUGAUUUGGCUCUGUGACUCCACCCAAAUCUCAUGUCAAAUUGUAAUUCCCAAUGUUUGCAGGGGGCAGGGACCUGGUGGGAGGUGAUUGGGUCAUGAGGACAAAUUUUUCCCUUGCUGCUCUUGUGACAGUGAGUGGGAUCUCAUAAAAUCUGGUGGUUUAAAAGUGUGUACCAUUUCCCCCUUUGCUUUCUCUCUCCUGCUGCUUCCUGUACAGCCUGCAGAACUGUGAGUCAAUUAAACCUCCAUAAAUUACCCAGUCUCUGGUAGGUCUUUAUAGCAGUGUGACAAUGGAAAAUUGGUACCAGAAAAUGGAACACGGCUAUAAAGAUAGCUGAAAAUGUGGAAGUGACUUUAGAACUGGGUAAUGGGCAGAGGUGGGAACAGUUUGGAGGGCUUAGAAGAAGACAGGAAGAUGAGGGAAAGUUUGGAACUUCCUAGAGACUUGUUGAAUCAUUAUGACUAAAAUGCUGAUAGUGAUAAGGACGGUGAAAUCCAGGCUGAAGUGGUCUCAGAUGGAGAUGAGGAGCUUAUUGGGAACUGGAGUAAAAGGUCACUCUUGCUAUGCUUUAGCAAAGAGACUGGCAGCAUUGUGCCCCUGCUCUAGAGAUCUGUGGAACUUUGAACUUGAGAGAGAUGGUUUAGAGUACCUGGCAGAAGAAAUUUCUAAGCAGCAAACUGCUCAAGGUGUAGCCUGGCUGCUUUUAAAAGCAUAUGCUCAUUUGCAUAAACAAAGAAAUGACCUGAAAUUAGAACUUAUAUUUAAAAGGGAAUCAGAGAAUAAAAUUUUGGAAAAUUUGUAGCCUAACCAUGUGGUAGAAAAGAAAAACCCAUUUUCUGGGGAGGAAUACAAGGCUGCAGAAAUUUGCAUAAGUAAAGAGCCAAAUGUUAAUAGCCUAGACAAUGGGAAAAAUGCCUCCAGGGCAUUUCAGAGACCUUCCCAGCAGCCCCUUUCACCACAGGCCUGGAGGCACAGGAAGGAAAAAUGGUUACAUGGGCCAGGCCCAGGGCCCCACUGCUCUGUGCAGCCUCAGGACAUGGUGCCCUGUGUUUCAGUGGCUCCAGGUCCAGCUGUAGCUAAAAGAAGCCAAGGUACAGCUCAGGCUGUUGCUUCUGAGGGUGCAAGCCCCAAGCCUUGGUGGCUUCCAUGUGGUGUUGGGCCUGUGGGUGCAUAGAAGGCAAGAGUUGAGGUUUGGGAGACUGCCUAGAAUUCAGAGGAUUUAUGGAAACUUCUGGAAGUCCAGACAGAAGUCUGCUGCAGGGGCAGAGCCUUCAUGGAGAACCUCUACUAGGGCAGUGAAAAGGGGAAAGGUGGGGUUGGAGCCCUCACUCAGAGCCCCCAUUAGGGCACUGUCUUGUGGAACUGUAAGAAGAGGACCACUGUCCUUCAGAGCCCAGAAUGGGAGAUCCACUGACAGCUUGCACCAUACACCGAGAAAAGCUACAGGCACUCAAUGCCAGAACAGGAAAGCAGCUGUACUCUUUCCUGUACUCUGCAGAGCCACAGGGUAAGAGAUGUGCAAGGCCUUGGGGGCCCACUCCUUGCAUCAGUGUGGCCUGGAUGUGAGACAUGGAGUCAAAGAAGAUUAUUUUGGAGCUUUAAGAUUUAAUGACUACCCUGCCGGGUUUUGGAUUUGCAUGGGGCCUGUAGCCCCUUUGUUUUUGCCAGUGUCUCCCUUUUGGAAUGGAAGCAUUUACCCAAUGCCUGUACUCCCCUUGAAUCUUGAAAGUAACUAACUUGUUUUUGAUUUUACAGGCUCAUAGGUGGAAGGGACUUGCCUUAUCUCAGAUAAGGCUUUCGAUUUGGAAUUUUGAGUUAAUGCUGGAAGGAGUUAAGACUUUGGAGGACUGUUGGGAAGGCAUGAUUGGUUUUAAAAUAUGAAGAGGACAUGAGAUUUGGGAGGGGCAAGGGGCAGAAUGAUAUGGUUUGGCUCUGUGUCCCCACCCAAAUCUUAUGUUAAAUUGUAAUUCCCAAUGUUGGGGAAGGGACCUUGUGGGAAGUGAUUGAAUAAUGGGGCCAGAUUUCCCCCUUGCUGCUCUCACAAUAGUGAGUGAGUUCUCAUGAGAUCUGGUGGUUUAAAAGUGUGUAGCACUUCCCUCUUUGAUCUCUCUCUCCUGCUCCACCACGUGAAGAUUGUGCCUGCUUCCCCUUUGCCUUCUGCCAUGAUUGUAAGUUUCCUGAGGCCUCCAAGCCAUACUUUCUGUACAACCUACAGAACUGUAAGUCAAUUAGACCUCUUUUCUUCAUAAAUUACCCAGUCUCAGGUAGUUCUUUGUAGCAGUGUGAGAAUGGACUAGUACAGGAUCAUAGUCAUGGGAAUCUAAUUUACAACAUGGGUGGAGAUGAAUGCAUUAAUUAAUUUGAUUGUGGUAAUUGUUACACUGUGUAUGUGUGUGUAUAUAUAUAAUAUUAUAUAUAUUUAAUUAAGAUGUAUUAAAUAUAUGCAAUCUUUAUUUGUCAAUUAAAUAUUUCAAAAUUUUAAAAAAAGGAAAUUGAGAGACUCAAAGAGCUUGCUUAAAUACUAAAACUUACAUAUUUAAUUUGUGAUUGUGAUCUUAUGUGAUUGCAGAUUCCAUUUUCUUUCCUAUACAUUGCUUUCUGCAGUAGAAAGAAUGGACAGGUUAUUGUCAGAUGGGAAUCAACCCUGCUUUUAUGGAUGAUUUGUAAUUUUUGGCUUUGAAGAGCGCAGUGGACAUAUGUACUUAACUUCUCAGUCUUUUCAUUUUCAUGACAUCAUUUUUACUUCAAACUUUGAAAUGCAAAGCCAGUAACUUCUUUAUAAAACUACAUGUAUUUAAUGUUGUGUUUUAUAUUUUUUCUUUAGAAGGAUGAAAAACAACAACAACAAUAAAAACCCAUGGACACAAACGUGGCUGAUGCCCCACUGUUUGUUUAAUCAGUGAGCCCUUACAAUUUCUAUUCCACUUUCAGUAUUUGUGUUCAUCUUGCCAACAUUUUAUUGGCAUCAAUCUACAUGACUCCUUAAACUUGAAUUGCUUUAAUGUUAUUUCUUUGUCUCUAGUUUAAAAGAAAUACAAGGCAGAAACACUUAGAAGUUCUCCUCAAUUUCCUGCUUGGAUAAUGAGUUUCUUCACCUAGGGAAAUAUUCAUUUAGAAAACUUAAGAAUAGAAGAAAGAGAACUGUGAUCGAGGAACAAUAAGAAAUAAAACUUCAAAGAUUAUUUUGAUGCCUGCUAUUUUAUUACUAUCUAAUUAGAAUUUCUAUUAUGGAUGUUAUUUGAAUUUUAUCCAACACUUUCUGGUUCCUCUAUUACUAUACAAAUCUUAUUUUACAUCUUCAACUUGCUAAUAAAAAUAAAUUACAGAUGUAUUAAACUUAAAAUAGUGUACUCAGUGUCCUUAGUUCACUUGUAGUAGUGUACUAAGGCGUCCUUUCCAAGCUAUAUGACUUUGUUUUUGUUUUCUUGUCUGAUUAUUUAGUCACAGUUUUUGAUAUAUAUUUAUUUAUAGCACUUGUUACCUUCUGUCAUAUUAUAUAAUUUAUGUUUAGAUUUUAUUUACUUUACUAUCCUAGUAAAGUAUUAGCUCCAUGGAGU
rnacentral:lncRNA from 10 species